rnacentral:misc_RNA from 1 species
AAAGUCGUAACAAGGUUUCCGUAGGUGAACCUGCGGAAGGAUCAUUAUUCUUCUCUAUCGGGGGGUUGUAGUUGAAGAUUGUUUUCAGCAGGAAACUCUCUCCUUCUCGCCCUAUCUGAUUUUACCCAUGAUUUUUGUAUACCUUAUGUUUCCUUGACAGGUUCGCCUGUCAGAGGACCCCUUAAACCCAUUGCAAUUGCAGUCAGCGUCAGAUAAACUUAAUAGUUACAACUUUCAACAACGGAUCUCUUGGUUCUG